ensembl:lncRNA
UAGAAGAGACACGUGCAUUAUCACAUUCUCUGGCAUAAUGGCCCGUUUGUUGACAGUCCACACACAACGUUAGUAGGACGACCCGGGCUGGGGUCCAGGGGCGCUUGCCUCACCUUAAGGGCCUCAGUGAGUUGAUUAAGUUGCUCCUGCUGCUUAUGAACUAAAGCAGUCAAGGCUGCAAGUUGCUCAGCGAUGGAACUGCUAGGGGGGGCAAUCAACAUUACAAUGAACACCAGAGCUCUGCACAGCACAAAAAGGGGAAAUAAAAUGGCAUUUACCAUUAGCAGGGCUGCCCUCAUGUUCCCAUCCAAUAGCCUCCGCACGUACAUCGAGUAGGGACAGUGUGGAGUCAGCAUGGACCAGCCUCUUUAACUCCCUGCGAAGAUCUGAGCGCUGCACAUUCUCCACAAACUGGUCUUGCAACAGAAUAGAAGAGUUAGACAUUCUAUUAGGGGCACAAGCAACAGCUUUAUCCAUCAAGUAAUAUAGGGCAUGAGAAUACUCUUGCAGGGAUUCUCCCUCUAACUGGUUUCUAGAAAAGAAGUCUUCCUGCAAAGACACAAGACUUUGAACACCCAUAGAGAUCCUUUAAAAUUGUAAAAACACGGUCUGGGUCCUCACGUUCGAUACGUGGUCUAUACUUCAUUUUCAUCCAUAGCUUCACCCUCUAGAUGAUCAAAAAUGAAGCUGGCCUGAUCAUUGGGACCCAAAUGGCUAGCCCUCAUACUGGCCUGUACCUCCUCCACCCACUCAUCUACCCCAAUACCAUGGGUACCCCAGAACAUGGGGCACUUUCUCUCUCAUGGUAGGUAGAUGAUGCGUUCAUGGGCCGCAGUGCCCGCAGCUGCUUCCUGUAUCUGCGAUUGUCUGCCUGUAGCUGUCUCAGUGCUCCCUGAGGUCCUGCAGCUCCUCUGUCAUGGUGGAACACUCCAGCAAUCACCCACGUAAUCAGUCAGCAACCACGACCUCGACUCAGCAGUAGAUCCCGCAGCAUGCCAGCUGUUGCCUUGUCUUAAAGAAAAACAGGGGGAAAAGGAUGAAAAAGGGAAGGAAAAAAAGAAUGCUCCCUCAGCUAUGCUCUGCUCACAACAGCCAUCUACUCCAGACCACAAAAGGGGUAUAACCCUCCAGUACACCCAACUACAAAAACAACCACAAUAAACAAAAACUACAAUCGCCUCUGAUUGUGAACCAUCCUGCCGACAACGCCAGAAAAAGGGUGUAACCAAGUUAGGACUGGUGAGGGUCUUCUGAUUUCUUUUAACACUGAACCGACAACGCCACCUAGGGACUUUCACCCUAAGAAUGUCAACAAUCCUGCCUCUCAACAGAGGGUUUCCCCUACUAAACACAGGUACGUGCACAAAUGAAUACAGAGGCAUGUAUAGAAAAAUAUAAAUACAAUUUUAUUCUGGUACAAAAAUAUGUUCAGCACACAACACACACUAAUGUUAAUAUAAACGCAGUUAUUAGAAAUGGAAGUCACACAGGCCCUACGCAGCUAUGGAAGGGAGAAACCUGAUUACUGAGCCAGAGAACACAGCCACAACAACCUAAAGAUAAACACACAUGGGGAGAAACAAAACUAAACUCGAACCAAGCAGACUGAUACAAAACUAGGCAAAACGACUACAAACUAAAGGAAAGAAACAACAAAAUAAACAAGCCAAAACACAAUGCAGCAGAGGUAAAAUUGUAAUGAAACAAAGAAAUGUUUAACCACAAUCAAGCAACAGAACGAUAACAACAAGCAUAAACAAACAUUUUGGUUACCUCGGCUGUCCGACGCUACACGGGCAUGAAGCCGCCGAUAAGCACCGUCGGCGGACUCGGCACUGCAGCCACAGAAG